rnacentral:rRNA from 1 species
GUAGGGAAUAUUGCGCAAUGGGGGAAACCCUGACGCAGCGACGCCGCGUGAGUGAUGAAGGCCUUCGGGUCGUAAAGCUCUGUUGCAGGGGAAUAAAAAAAUGAAGGUACCCUGUGAGGAAGGAUCGGCUAACUUCGUGCCAGCAGCCGCGGUAAGACGAGGGAUCCUAGCGUUGCUCGGAAUCAUUGGGCGUAAAGAGGGCGUAGGUGGCUUGGUAAGUCAGGUGUGAAAGCCCAGGGCUCAACCCUGGAAGUGCAUUUGAUACUGCUGAGCUUGAGUGUCGGAGAGGUUACCGGAAUACCUGGUGUAGUGGUGAAAUACGUAGAUAUCAGGUGGAACACCGGAGGCGAAGGCGGGUAACUGGCCGAACACUGACACUGAGAUCCGAAAGCGUGGGGAUCAAACAGGAUUAGAAACCCCAGUAGUCC